rnacentral:misc_RNA from 1 species
GCACCCUCAAGCCUGGCUUGGUAUUGGCGGCCGCCCCGGUGGGGCGCCGCCGAAACGCAGCGGCGACGUAGCCGGACUCCCUGGCGUAGUGACACUUGCUGUCGCCCCGGAGGCCGGUCGUGCGUCAGCCGGACAACGCCCCAAUUUUUGAAA